UACGUAGGGUGCAAGCGUUGUCCGGAAUUAUUGGGCGUAAAGAGCUCGUAGGCGGUCCGUCGCGUCGGCUGUGAAAACUCGGGGCUCAACCCCGAGCCUGCAGCCGAUACGGGCGGACUAGAGUUCGGUAGGGGAGACUGGAAUUCCUGGUGUAGCGGUGAAAUGCGCAGAUAUCAGGAGGAACACCGGUGGCGAAGGCGGGUCUCUGGGCCGAUACUGACGCUGAGGAGCAAAAGCGUGGGGAGCGAACAGG
rnacentral:rRNA from 1 species